CCUACGGGUGGCAGCAGUAGGGAAUAUUGCUCAAUGGGGGAAACCCUGAAGCAGCAACGCCGCGUGGAGGAUGAAGGUUUUCGGAUUGUAAACUCCUUUUGUUAGAGAAGAUAAUGACGGUAUCUAACGAAUAAGCACCGGCUAACUCCGUGCCAGCAGCCGCGGUAAUACGGAGGGUGCAAGCGUUACUCGGAAUCACUGGGCGUAAAGAGCGCGUAGGCGGGAUAGCAAGUCAGAGGUGAAAUCCUAGGGCUGAACGAGAGAACUGCAUUUGAAACUGUCAUACUAGAGUAUGGGAGAGGUAAGUGGAAUUCUAGGUGUAGGGGUAAAAUCCGUAGAGAUCAAGAGGAAUAUCCAUUGCGAAGGCGACCUGCUAGAACAUAACUGACGCUGAUGCGCGAAAGCGUGGGUAGCAAACAGGAUUAGAUACCCGGGUAGUC
rnacentral:rRNA from 1 species